UGGGGAAUUUUGGACAAUGGACGAAAGUCUGAUCCAGCCAUGCCGCGUGCGGGAAGAAGGCCUUCGGGUUGUAAACCGCUUUUGUCAGGGAAGAAAAGCGCUGGGCUAAUACCCCGGCGUCAUGACGGUACCUGAAGAAUAAGCACCGGCUAACUACGUGCCAGCAGCCGCGGUAAUACGUAGGGUGCAAGCGUUAAUCGGAAUUACUGGGCGUAAAGCGUGCGCAGGCGGCUUUGCAAGACAGAUGUGAAAUCCCCGGGCUCAACCUGGGAGCUGCAUUUGUGACUGCAAGGCUAGAGUACGGUAGAGGGGAGUGGAAUUCCGCGUGUAGCAGUGAAAUGCGUAGAUAUGCGGAGGAACACCGAUGGCGAAGGCAGCUCCCUGGACCUGUACUGACGCUCAUGCACGAAAGCGUGGGGAGCAAACAGGAUUAGAUACCCUGGUAGUCCACGCCCUAAACGAUGUCAACUGGUUGUUGGGAGGGUUUCUUCUCAGUAACGUAGCUAACGCGUGAAGUUGACCGCCUGGGGAGUACGGCCGCAAGGUUG
rnacentral:rRNA from 1 species